UGAGUCCAUCCAGCAUCUCACAGAGCACAUGAGCAGCAACAGCAUUCAUGUUACAUACUAAACACGCCGUGGAGAAAUGUUCAUUUCUGUGAAGGAGCGCUAGUUUUCGUCAAGGAGAGAAGUCUCAGUCUUGCAAUGGGAGCUGAACUCUGAUCUUCACCUUGAGGGAGGAAGGAGAAGUAGAGGAGGAGGAAGAGGCUGACACCAUGAUUCUUCAGUGGCCUGGAAGAAAUUAGGAUACUAGAGACUCCCCUUGCCUGUCGUGUGUGAAGGCAAAUCCUUCUCAAUCAGUUGUCAUCAGAUAAG
rnacentral:lncRNA from 14 species